rnacentral:rRNA from 1 species
GGCGAACGCUGGCGGCGUGCCUAAUACAUGCAAGUCGAACGAGAGCGACCGGUGCUUGCACUGGUCAAUCUAGUGGCGAACGGGUGAGUAACACGUGGGUAACCUGCCCAUCAGAGGGGGAUAACAUCCGGAAACGGAUGCUAAAACCGCAUAGGUCUUCGAGCCGCAUGGCUUGAAGAGGAAAAGAGGCGCAAGCUUCUGCUGAUGGAUGGACCCGCGGUGCAUUAGCUAGUUGGUGAGGUAACGGCUCACCAAGGCCGGGAUGCAUAGCCGACCUGAGAGGGUGAUCGGCCACAUUGGGACUGAGACACGGCCCAAACUCCUACGGGAGGCAGCAGUAGGGAAUCUUCCGCAAUGGACGCAAGUCUGACGGAGCAACGCCGCGUGAGUGAAGAAGGUUUUCGGAUCGUAAAACUCUGUUGUUAGAGAAGAACAAGUGCUAGAGUAACUGUUAGCGCCUUGACGGUAUCUAACCAGAAAGCCACGGCUAACUACGUG